rnacentral:rRNA from 1 species
ACAUGCCUACAACAUAGCAUUAAUGCACUAGAUCCCAUUAGAACUCCAUAGUUGAGCACGAUCAGGCUAGAGUAGUACUAGGAUAGGUGACUGCCCAGGAAGUCCUAGUGUUUUACAUGGC